rnacentral:lncRNA from 1 species
CCAUCCCCCCCCACCCCCAUCACCCCCCAUCGCCCCCCCGCCCCCCCCGCCGCUCACGUGAUCGAGGAAGGCGGACCGCACGCCGAGGUACCGCGACGCCACGUAGAGGCAGAAGAGGUGGCGGUCGAUGCCGGCGCCCGUCAUGGCCAGGCGGUACAACUGCUGGUGCCGCGCCGCCGCCGCCACGAACAGCGAGCGCCGCGACGAGCGCUGCGGGACGGCGGGGGUUGGGGGCGGCCGGGGACCACAGGGACGGGGGAGCCGGAGGGACACCAGGGGGACCCAGAGGGACGGGGACCCCACAGGGACGGGGGCAUCAUAGGGACAGGGGGACCAGAGGGACACCAGAGGGACCCUUAUAGGGACAGAGGCACCGUAGGGACACCAUAGGGACACCAGAGGGACACCAGAGGGACACCAGAGGGACACCAUAGGCACAGAGACACCAUAGGGACACCAGAGGGACACCAUAGGGACACCAUAGGGACACCAUAGGGGCAGGGACACCAUAGGGACACCAGAGGGACACCAUAGGGACAGCGGCUUCGUAGGGACAGGGACACCAUAGGGAUCUCAUAGGGACAGGGGCAUUCUUAGGGACAGGGGCACCAUAGGGACAGGGCCACCAUAGGGACACCAUAGGGACCCUUAUAGGGACAGGGGCACCGUAGGGACAGGGGCACCAUAGGGACACCAUAGGGACACCAGAGGGACACCAGAGGGACACCAGAGGGACACCAGAGGGACAGGGGCUCCGUAGGGACGGGGAGAACAUAGGGACCCCAUAGGGACUCUAAUAGGGACAGGGGCACCGUAGGGGCACCAGAGGGGCACCAGAGGGACACCAUAGGGACAGGGACACCAUAGGGACCCCAUAGGGACCCCAUAGGGACACCAGAGGGACACCAGAGGGACACCAGAGGGACGGGGGUGCCGUAGGGACAGGGGCACCAUAGGGAUCUCAUAGGGACGGGAGCAUCAUAGGGACAGGGGCACCAUAGGGACACCAGAGGGACACCAUAGGGAUAGGGACCCCUACAGGGACAGGGGCACCAUAGGGACACCAGAGGGACACCAUAGGGAUAGGGAUCCCUACAGGGACAGGGGCAUCAUAGGGACACCAUAGGGACAGGGACACCAGAGGGACCCACAGGGACACCAUAGGGAACCCAUAGAGUCGUGGAUCCCAUAGGGACAGGGACCCCAUAGGGACACCACAAGGACACCAUAGGGACAGGGGCACCACAGGGACAGGGACCCCAUAGGGACCCACAUAGGAACACCGUUAGGGACAGGGACCCCCAUAGGGACAGGGACACCAGAGGGACACCAGAGGGACUCUAAUAGGGACAGGGACACCAUAGGGACACCAUAGGGACACCAUAGGGAC